rnacentral:lncRNA from 10 species
AUCUUCUUAUGGAGUACCUUACUGGGGUUCUCUGCAUUUCCUGAAUUUGAAGAUUUUACCUCUCUAGCCAGAAGGGGGAAAUUCUCAUGGAUGAUAUCUUAAAACAUGUUUUACAAGUUGUUCCAUUCUCUCCAUCUCUUUCAGGUGUGGAGUCUAAGAAGUCCAAGGUUGAGGAGCUGCAUCUGAUGAGAGCCUUCUUGCUGGUUGGGAUCCUCUGCAGAGUCUUGAGUUGGAAGUCCGAAGAACUAAGUUCAAAACUUUUGAAAAUGUAGAGUUCUCAAGAGUUUGAGAGAGCCUUACUGGGAGAAUGCAGCCGGGCUGGGCAGAAUGCAGCCGGGCUGGGCAGAAUGCAAUCCCCAGCAAACUUGUGGUGCUGACAUAAAGAAGCGUCUCAAAAUGCUCAACUCAAACCUCUGAAGCAUGGAAGGAAACCUAUCAAGCUCUCUGUCAAAACUCCAUAAAGAUCCAGAAUAAAUAAAGAAUGCUUACAAUUCAACAAUGUAAAGACAAAUAACAAAUAAGUGGGCGAAUGAUUUCAAUAGACUUUUCCCAAAAAAAGUUGCAUGACAAAGAAUAAGCUCGUGAAAGGGUGCUCAACAUUGUUAAUCAUUAGGGAGACGCAAUGCAAAAACAGAAAGAUGGAUGGAAACUUUUCACCCACUAAAAUGCAUGCAACAAAAAAGACAGAUAACAGGUAUAAUGAUGUAGAAAAACUGGAACCUUAUGUUACUGGUGGGAAUGUAAAGUGGUACAGAGGCUUUGGAAAAUAAUCUGGCAGUUCCUCAAAUGAUAUAACAUAGAAGACAGCAAUUCUACACCUAGAUAUGUACCCAAGAAAAAUGAAAACAUUUCUAAACAAAGAUGCGUACGUGGAUAUUGAUAGCUACAUUAUUCCUUAUGGCCCAAAGUGGCAACAAUCUAAAUGCCCAUCAACUGAUGAAUGAAUAAAGAAAAUGUGUUAUAUCUAUACAAUGGAAUAUAAAGAAAUGAAGUACUGUUCCAUGCUACUACACAGAUGAUCCCUGAAAACAUUAUGUAAAAUAAAAGCCAGU